rnacentral:lncRNA from 1 species
ACGACAUGAUUGACUGCAGGCAUGCUGCCUUUUUGGACUUUAACUGGGUAGUAGGUCCGAUUGAUUCCCUGCGAAAGACUUGCAUAGUUUAGUCUUUAGGGAAUGUAUAUAAUAACAUGCUAUGUGAUAUGUCCAUUUUAGGAAUUUUUAUCCUGCACAAUGGAUGUCAGCUGUUUAUAGCAUGUAUGUGUACACAUUUCUUCAUAUUUCUCA